rnacentral:rRNA from 1 species
CACGUAGGCGGACUCUUAAGUCGGUGGUGAAAUCCUGGAGCUCAACUCCAGAACUGCCUUCGAUACUGAGAGUCUCGAGUCCGGGAGAGGUGAGUGGAACUGCGAGUGUAGAGGUGAAAUUCGUAGAUAUUCGCAAGAACACCAGUGGCGAAGGCGGCUCACUGGCCCGGUACUGACGCUGAGGUGCGAAAGCGUGGGGAGCAAACA